rnacentral:rRNA from 1 species
UACAGGGGGUGCAAACGUUGCUCGGAAUCAUUGGGCGUAGAGCGCACGUAGGCGGUUAUUUAAGUCGGAUGUGAAAGCCCUUGGCUCAACCGAGGAAGUGCAUCCGAAACUGAAUAGCUGGAGUACGAAAGAGGGUCGCGGAAUUCCCGGUGUAGAGGUGAAAUUCGUAGAUAUCGGGAGGAACACCGGUGGCGAAGGCGGCGACCUGGGUCGAUACUGACGCUGAGGUGCGAAAGCGUGGGGAGCAAACAGG